AAUAAGUGCAGUUUUGCACUAUUCACGUUCAACGUUUGACCGUUCGUCUUAUUUGAAUUUUUUUAUGAUUAGUAUUUUUAUUGCUAUUAGAUGAUAAAACAUGAAUAAUACUUUAUGUGUGACUAAAUAUUUGUAAAUUUUUCACAAAUUUUUCAAAUAAGACGGACGGUCAAACGUUGGACACGGAUAUCCACGGCUGCACUUAUU
rfam:Oryza sativa (indica cultivar-group) chromosome 3, whole genome shotgun sequence.